UCGUUUUAAAACAUUGCAUUUACGAAAUGCAAAAUAAGAAAAAUAUGACUAACAUCAACAUGUUUGUUUAUGCUUUGAUCACCUUUUUUUUUACGUUUCUUAAUGAACUCUCUGCUUAUAAGAUAACUGAUAUCCCUUGCAAAGUUGAAAGUGAUUGUCCACCAACGACAAUUUUGAUUCAGUGGCGGUGCCGAGAACAUUUUUGUGUGAAAUAUUAUUUGUGAGGAAGCAUUUAUUAAGUUUUGCUACCUCAUGUCGAUCUGUAACAUCAUGUAUUAAUUUCUAGAAUAAAAUAUUAUAUCUUCUGAUAAUAAAUACUAGAUCGCAUGCCCGUGAGUUGGCACGUGUCAUAUAUAUAUAUAUAUAUGGAAAUAAUAAUCAUGGUUAUAUAUAACAAAAUUCUAUAUAAUUCUAAAUAAUUUUUUUUCUUUUUCAAAUUGCCUAGUGGGAUUGAAUGUUGCUAGAAAAAUAGCUUUCCCAUUCAAUUUUACCUAAAGCAUGGUUGCUAACAUAAGCAACUCUAUAAUCAAUUGUAUAAACCAAAACUCCAUAAAAAAUGAUUUCUCUCAACUUAUCAAAUGACAUAAACCACAAUAAAUCCAUCGAGUUGUUUUGCUUCAUAGCUAUGAUGUCUAUUUGAAGUUGGCACCUGAAAUAUGCAGCAAGUAAUUAAUGUGACUAACAACAAUAAAGACAUUAUGUAAUGAGACUCACAAAAUCACAAUAAUAAAUCAUUAUGAGAAGGGCUUUUGAUGUUGAAAUUGAUGGUUAAAAGCUAAUAAAAUUAGAACAUUAAGUUUCAU